CCUGUAGGCACCCCACAGAUCCUAUAGGGCAUCCCCUGCCCCUAUAGGCACCGCCCAACCCCGUAAGCCUCGCCCAGAUCCUAUAGGGCACCCCUAGAUCCUAUGGGGCUCCCCCUGCCCCUAUAGGCACGGCCCAACCCCAUAAACAUUGCCCAAAUCCUAUAGGCACCCCCAGAUCCUAUAGGCACCGCCCAACCCCAUAAGCAUCGCACAGAUCCUUUAGGGCUCCCCCAGAUCCCAUAGGGCUCCCCUUGCCCCUAUAGGCACCAUCCAACCCCAUAGGCAUUGCUCAGAUCCUACAGGUACCCCCAGAUCCUAUAGGGCUCCCCCUGUCCCUAUAGGCACCGCCCAACCCCAUAAGCAUCCCACAGAUCCCGUAGGGCUCCCCCAGAUCCUAUAGGGCACCCCCUGCCCCUAUAGGCACCACCCAGAUCCUAUAGGGUUCCCCCUGCCCCUAUAGGCACCAUCCAACCCCAUAGGCAUUGCCCAGAUCCUACAGGUACCCCCAGAUCCUAUAGGGUAUCUCUUGCCCCUAUAGGCACCUCCCCACCCCCCCAUAGAUUUUCUAUAGAUACCCCAUAUCCACCCCAUAUCCCUAUAGAUCCCCUAUAGCCACCCCACACCCCACAUAGAUCCCCUCCGGCCACCCCACACCCCCUUUAGAUACCCUAUAGAUCCCCUAUAACCACCCCACACCCCUUUUGAUACCCUACAGAUCCCCUAUAACUGCCCCAAACCCUUUUAAACACCCCAUAGAUCCCCUAUAACCACCCCACCCCCCUUCAGAUACCCUAUAGAUGCCAUAUAACCACCCCAAUCCCCUUUAAAUACUCUACAGAUCCCCUAUAACCACCCCAAUCCCCUUCAGACACCCCAUAGAUCCCCUAUAACCACCCCAAUCCCCUUCAGACACCCUAUAGAUCCCCUAUAACCACCCCACCCCCCUUCAGACACCCUAUAGAUACCCUAUAACCACCCCAACCCCCUUUAGAUACCCUACAAAUCCCCUAUAACCACCUCAAUCCCUUUCAGACACCCUAUAGCUCCCCUAUAACCACCCCACUCCCCUUCAGAUACCCUAUAGAUCCCCUAUAACCACCCCACACCCCUUCAGACCCCCUAUUACCACCCCAACCCCCUUCAGAUACCCUAUAGAUGCCCUAUAACCACCCCAAUUCCCUUUAGACACCCUAUAGAUCCCCUAUAAACCCCCCUUUAGAUACCCUAUAGACCCCCUACAACCACCCCACCCCCCCUUCAGACACCCUAUAGAUCCCCUAUAACCACCCCACCCCCCUUCAGAUACCCUAUAGAUGCCCUAUAGCCACCCCAACCCCCUUCAGAUACCCUAUAGAUACCCUAAAACCACCCCACCCCCCUUCAGAUCCCCUAUAACCACCCCACCCCCCUUCAGAUACCCUAUAGAUCCCCCUAUAACUGCCCCACCCCCCCUUCCAAUACCCUAUAGAUGCCCUAUAGCCACCCCACCCCCCUUCAGAUACCCUAUUACCACCCCACUCCCUUUUAGACACCGUAUAGAUCCCCUAUAACCCCCCCUUUAGAUACCCUAUAGACCCCCUAUAACCACCCCACCCCCCUUCAGAUCCCCUAUAGUUGCCCUAUAACCACCCCAGUCCCUUUUAGACACCCCAUAG
ensembl:lncRNA